GAUGAACGCUAGCGGCAGGCUUAAUACAUGCAAGUCGAGGGACAGCACAGGUAGCAAUACUGGGUGGUAACCGGCAAACGGGUGCGGAACACGUACACAACCUUCCUUUAAGUGGGGGAUAGCCCAGAGAAAUUUGGAUUAAUACCCCGUAAUAUAGUUGAAUGGCAUCAUUUGAUUAUUAUAGCUACGGCGCUUAAUGAUGGGUGUGCGGCUGAUUAGAUAGUUGGCGGGGUAACGGCCCACCAAGUCUACGAUCAGUAGAUGAUGUGAGAGCAUAAUCAGCCACACGGGCACUGAGACACGGGCCCGACUCCUACGGGAGGCAGCAGUAAGGAAUAUUGGUCAAUGGACGCAAGUCUGAACCAGCCAUGCCGCGUGAAGGAUUAAGGUCCUCUGGAUUGUAAACUUCUUUUAUUUGGGACGAAAAAGGGCCUUUCUAGGUCAACUGACGGUACCAGAUGAAUAAGCACCGGCUAACUCCGUGCCAGCCGCCGCAGUAACAC
rnacentral:rRNA from 1 species